ACAGAGGGUGCGAACGUUGCUCGGAAUUACUGGGCGUAAAGCGCGUGUAGGCGGUGUGGCACGUCCGAUGUGAAAGCCCGGGGCUCAACCCCGGACGUGCAUUGGAUACGACCGUGCUGGAGUCCUGAAGAGGAGGGCGGAAUUCCCGGUGUAGAGGUGAAAUUCGUAGAUAUCGGGAGGGACACCAGUGGCGAAGGCGGCUCUCUGGACAGGUACUGACGCUGAGACGCGAAAGCGUGGGUAGCAAACAGGA
rnacentral:rRNA from 1 species